UCGGGAAAACUCCGCAAUGCACGCAAGUGUGACGGGGGAAUCCUCAGUGCUUAGGCAAUGCCUAGGCUUUUGCCAAGAGCAAAUAUCUUGGCGAAUAAGUGGUGGGCAAGACUGGUGCCAGCCGCCGCGGUAACCCCAGCGCCACAAGUGGGAAUCGCUUUUAUUGGGUCUAAAGCAUCCGUAGCCGGCUCGUUAAAUGCUCUGUGAAAUCGCUGCGCUCAACGUAGCGACGGGCAGAGUAGACUGGCGAGCUUGGGACCGGGAGAGGCGUUCGGUAUUCUAUGGGGAGCGGUAAAAUGUGAUAAUCCAUAGAGGACCACCAAUGGCGAAGGCAGAACGCUAGCACGGAUCCGACGGUGAGGGAUGAAAGCUAGGGGAGCGAUUCGG
rnacentral:rRNA from 1 species